CGGCGGACGGGGGAGUAACGCGUGGGUAACCGUGCCUCAUACAGGGGGAUAACAGUUGGAAACGGCUGCUAAUACCGCAUAAGCGCACAGUACCGCAUGGUACGGUGUGAAAAACUCCGGUGGUAUGAGAUGGACCCGCGUCUGAUUAGCUAGUUGGUGGGGUAACGGCCCACCAAGGCGACGAUCAGUAGCCGACCUGAGAGGGUGACCGGCCACAUUGGGACUGAGACACGGCCCAA
rnacentral:rRNA from 1 species